rnacentral:rRNA from 1 species
GACGAGCCACCCGAACGUUAUUCGGAAUUACUGGGCUUAAAGGGUGCGUAGGCGGUGCAGCAAGUCGGGAGUGAAAUACCUCAGCUUAACUGAGGAACUGCUUUCGAUACUGCUGUGCUUGAGUGAGACAGAGGUAAGCGGAACUUAGGGUGGAGCGGUGAAAUGCGUUGAUAUCCUAAGGAACACCGGUGGCGAAGGCGGCUUACUGGGUCGAUACUGACGCUGAGGAGCGAAAGCCAGGGGAGCAAACGGG